rnacentral:rRNA from 1 species
CGGUAAAACCAGCACCUCGAGUGGUCAGGAGGAUUAUUGGGCCUAAAGCAUCCGUAGCCGGCUCUGUAAGUUUUCGGUUAAAUUCAUGUGCUCAACGCAUGAGCCGCCGAAAAUACUGCAUAGCUAGGGAGUGGGAGAGGUAGACGGUACUCAGUAGGAAGGGGUAAAAUCCUUUGAUCUAUUGAUGACCACCUGUGGCGAAGGCGGUCUACCAGAACACGUUCGACGGUGAGGGAUGAAAGCUGGGGGAGCAAACCGGAUUAGAUACCCGGGUAGUCCCAGCUGUAAACGAUGCAGACUCGAUGAUGCAUUGGCAUAUAGCCAGUGCAGUGUCGCAGGGAGGCCGUUAAGUCUGCCGCCUGGGAAGUACGUACGCAAGUAUGAAACUUAAAGGAAUUGGCGGGGGAGCACCACAAGGGGUGAAGCCUGCGGUUCAAUUGGAGUCAACGCCAGAAAUCUUACCCGGAGAGACAGCAGAAUGAAGGUCAAGCUGAAGACUUUACCAGACAAGCUGAGAGGUGGUGCAUGGCCGUCGCCAGCUCGUGCCGUGAGAUGUCCUGUUAAGUCAGGUAACGAGCGAGAUCCCCGCCACUAGUUGCUAUCAUUAUUCUCAGGAAUAGUGGGGCGAAUUAGUGGGACUGCCGUUGUUAAAACGGAGGAAGGAGGGGGCUACGGCAGGUCAGUAUGCCCCGAAACUCUGGGGCCACACGCGGGCUGCAAUGGUAGCGACAAUGAGUUCCAAACUCGAAAGAGGGUGGCAAUCUCUAAACGCUACCACAGUUAUGACUGAGGGCUGUAACUCGCCCUCACGAAUAUGGAAUCCCUAGUAACCGCGUGUCAUUACCGCGCGGUGAAUACGUCCCUGCUCC